CCUACGGGCGGCUGCAGUGGGGAAUAUUGCGCAAUGGGGGAAACCCUGACGCAGCGACGCCGCGUGAGCGAUGAAGGUCUUCGGAUCGUAAAGCUCUGUUCUAGGGGACGAAGGACCGCGGGAGUAAUAUGUCCGCGGGGUGACGGUACCUUAGGAGGAAGCCCCGGCUAACUACGUGCCAGCAGCCGCGGUAAGACGUAGGGGGCGAGCGUUGUCCGGAAUUACUGGGCUGGAAGAGUACGUCGGUUGUGAAAGACCGGGGCUCAACUCCGGGGUUGCACUUGAAACUGGUGGUCUUGAGGGCAGGAGAGGAAAGUAGAAUUCCUGGUGUAGCGGUGAAAUGCGUAGAAAUCAGGAGGAAUACCAGUGGCGAAGGCGGCUUUCUGGACUGACCCUGACACUGAGGUGCGAAAGCGUGGGGAGCAAACAGGAUUAGAUACCCCGGUAGUC
rnacentral:rRNA from 1 species